UAGAGUUUGAUCCUGGCUCAGGAUGAACGCUAGCGGCAGGCUUAACACAUGCAAGUCGAGGGGCAUCGGGAGGGAAGCUUGCUUUCCUUGCCGGCGACCGGCGCACGGGUGAGUAACACGUAUGCAACCUGCCCUCUUCAGGGGGACAACCUUCCGAAAGGGAGGCUAAUCCCGCGUAUAUCGGUUUCGGGCAUCCGAGAUCGAGGAAAGAUUCAUCGGAAGAGGAUGGGCAUGCGGCGCAUUAGCUAGACGGCGGGGUAACGGCCCACCGUGGCGACGAUGCGUAGGGGUUCUGAGAGGAAGGUCCCCCACACUGGUACUGAGACACGGACCAGACUCCUACGGGAGGCAGCAGUGAGGAAUAUUGGUCAAUGGGAGAGAUCCUGAACCAGCCAAGCCGCGUGAGGGAAGACGGCCCUAUGGGUUGUAAACCUCUUUUGUCGGAGAACAAAACCCGGGACGAGUCCCGGACUGCGUGUAUCCGAAGAAAAAGCAUCGGCUAACUCCGUGCCAGCAGCCGCGGUAAUACGGAGGAUGCGAGCGUUAUCCGGAUUUAUUGGGUUUAAAGGGUGCGUAGGCGGUCCGUUAAGUCAGCGGUAAAAUUGCGGGGCUCAACCCCGUCGAGCCGUUGAAACUGGCAGACUUGAGUUGGCGAGAAGUACGCGGAAUGCGCGGUGUAGCGGUGAAAUGCAUAGAUAUCGCGCAGAACUCCGAUUG
rnacentral:rRNA from 1 species